UAAUAGUGUAUAUUAAAGUUGUUGCAGUUAAAAAGCUCGUAGUUGAAUGUUGGUGUCGAACGAGCGGUCAGCUUCGGCUGUACUGCUCUCUCGACUCCUUCCUUCUGUGGACUACGUCGCACUUUACUGUGUGGCGCUAGGACGCAGAUCGUUUACUGUGAAAAAAUUAGAGUGUUCAAAGCAGGCUUCUGCCGUUGAAUAUAUUAGCAUGGAAUAAUGAGAUAGGACCCUGGUGCUAUUUUGUUGGUUUGCGUUCCGGGGUAAUGAUUAAUAGGAACAGUUGGGGGUAUUCGUAUUCCAUUGUCAGAGGUGAAAUUCUUGGAUUUCUGGAAGACGAACUACUGCGAAAGCAUUUACCAAGGAUGUUUUCAUUA
rnacentral:rRNA from 1 species